rnacentral:rRNA from 1 species
UUAAACUGAAGAGUUUGAUCCUGGCUCAGAUUGAACGCUGGUGGCAUGCUUAACACAUGCAAGUCGAACGGUAGCAGGACUAGCUUGCUAGUUGCUGACGAGUGGCGGACGGGUGAGUAACGCGUAGGAAUCUGCCCAUCUGAGGGGGAUACCAGUUGGAAACGACUGUUAAUACCGCAUAGUAUCUGUGGAUUAAAGGUAGCUUUCGAGCUGUCGCAGAUGGAUGAGCCUGCGUUGGAUUAGCUAGUUGGUGGGGUAAGGGCCUACCAAGGCCACGAUCCAUAGCUGAUUUGAGAGGAUGAUCAGCCACAUUGGGACUGAGACACGGCCCAAACUCCUACGGGAGGCAGCAGUGGGGAAUAUUGGACAAUGGGGGAAACCCUGAUCCAGCAAUGCCAUGUGUGUGAAGAAGGCCUUAGGGUUGUAAAGCACUUUAGUUGGGGAGGAAAGCCUUGAGGUUAAUAGCCUUUAGGAAUGACGUUACCCAAAGAAUAAGCACCGGCUAACUCCGUGCCAGCAGCCGCGGUAAUACGGGGGGUGCAAGCGUUAAUCGGAAUUACUGGGCGUAAAGGGUCUGUAGGUGGUUUGUUAAGUCAGAUGUGAAAGCCCAGGGCUCAACCUUGGAACUGCAUUUGAUACUGGCAAACUAGAGUACGGUAGAGGAAUGGGGAAUUUCUGGUGUAGCGGUGAAAUGCGUAGAGAUCAGAAGGAACACCAAUGGCGAAGGCAACAUUCUGGACCGAUACUGACACUGAGGGACGAAAGCGUGGGGAUCAAACAGGAUUAGAUACCCUGGUAGUCCACGCUGUAAACGAUGAGUACUAGCUGUUGGAGUCGGUGUAAAGGCUCUAGUGGCGCAGCUAACGUGAUAAGUACUCCGCCUGGGGACUACGGCCGCAAGGCUAAAACUCAAAGGAAUUGACGGGGACCCGCACAAGCGGUGGAGCAUGUGGUUUAAUUCGAUGCAACGCGAAGAACCUUACCUGGUCUUGACAUCCUGCGAACUUUCUAGAGAUAGAUUGGUGCCUUCGGGAACGCAGUGACAGGUGCUGCACGGCUGUCGUCAGCUCGUGUUGUGAAAUGUUGGGUUAAGUCCCGCAACGAGCGCAACCCCUAUUGAUAGUUACCAUCAUUAAGUUGGGUACUCUAUUGAGACUGCCGCUGACAAGGCGGAGGAAGGUGGGGACGACGUCAAGUCAUCAUGGCCCUUACGACCAGGGCUACACACGUGCUACAAUGGGUAUUACAGAGGGCUGCGAAGGAGCGAUCUGGAGCGAAACUCAAAAAGGUACUCUUAGUCCGGAUUGCAGUCUGCAACUCGACUGCAUGAAGUCGGAAUCGCUAGUAAUCGCAGGUCAGAAUACUGCGGUGAAUACGUUCCCGGGUCUUGUACACACCGCCCGUCACACCAUGGGAGUGGGUUGCUCCAGAAGUAGAUAGCUUAACGAAUGGGCGUUUACCACGGAGUGAUUCAUGACUGGGGUGAAGUCGUAACAAGGUAGCCGUAGGGGAACCUGCGGCUGGAUCACCUCCUUAACGGAAAU